rnacentral:lncRNA from 1 species
AUGGAUGUUUCAGGUUCUGCCACAUCGAGCUACGUGUUCAAGGCGUGGUCUCGUCACACCCACCCAGGUGGGGCACAUGUUCUUUUGUCAUUCAAUGGGAAGAGAAAUCGAGAUUCUAAUAAAGCUGGAAAAAUGAUUUCAAGAUUUUGGAGACUUGAAGCCAUUAUUGAUGCACUAUUGAUCUCCAAACCCCCCCCCCCCCCACCCCAGAAACUUCAAGAAGCAGACAGAGAAAACAACCACAAAACGAACAAAUCGACCAAACAUGCAACCUUCUUCGGAGGGCCGGUCUUAAUCGCUAAUCAAAUUGAGAUUGUAAUAAACAUGUGUUCACACGUGCUGUCUUUUCCACCAUUUCUUCUUGAAUUCGUUAAUAUAAUAAUGCUCAGAAAGUAACAGAGGGUCUUGCACUGGUCCUUGUGAGAUCGAGGAUAAAUAGAAAACAUGAAUUUUCUUGUUGUUUACUUUGUUUGUUCUAGUAGAGUUACCAUACAGUGGUAUAUUAGUUUCGGGGGUACGAUAUGACCCAACAAGUCUACACAUUUCUCAGUGCUCGUCAGGACAAGUGUGCUCUUAACCAGCCCCCCUCCUAUUUCCCCCACUCCCUUCACCUCCCCUCUG